AGUAAUGAUCGGUUUCAUCUAGUUUUAUUGUUGUGUUAAAAACUGGACUGAGAUCCGCAGAUUCAAGUGACUCUGAUUUGCCAAAGACCGCAUUUUCCAGUUCAGCGCCCUAUGCAUUAACAUGUGUAAGUCUGUUUUCUAACUGUUUUGACUCAAGUGUUAGGUUCUCUGUGGUAGAUUCAGUGUCAUUUUCCACCGCUUGGUCUUCAUUGCCAACAGCUUUUUUCCCUCUAUGCACAAAUUGUACUCCAUCAGCAACUACCUUUACAAUACGCUCAUUCUUUGUGGCUUCAGAAUCAGCUUCUGGCUUGGUUUCUAUUUCUUGUUUUUUCCUCAUUAUUACUUAGACCAGCAGUUUCGCUUUUAUCUGUACAGGCAUCCCCUUUAGUACCAUCCUGGUUAUCAACUAUAACAGUAUCACGGACAACAGCACCAACAUUUAGUUCUUGAUCUUUCUCCACACCACCACCAGUUUUCUCUUAAAUUGAAAGUUCCUGAAUCUGAGUCAAAAUCAUCAUUACUGCUAUAUUUUCUGCUAUUCUUAAAGUCAUCAUCAGUGUUUCCAGAGUCAUACGAAAAGCUAGAAAUCUUUUCAUAUAAAGUAAUUAAUGUCACUUGAAAGAGUAGAAUACAUUGGAAGUUCCAACUCCUUGUUUGUAUUCUCACAUGCCUUAGCUGGAAAUUGAAACACCAAUUAUAAGGUUUCUUCAAGCUUCAUGCUGUCAACCUCUUCAGCCUG
rnacentral:lncRNA from 1 species